GCGGGCGCCGGGGGCUUCCCCUGCUUUUUCCUCCCGAAGUGGGAGAGGCCGGGCCCACGGAAGCCACGGGACAGACCUGCCCACACUCCCGGGGACCAGAGGGGACGGAGCGGAGGCGGCGGGAGUGUCCCUAGCGCUGCGACGGACGGUGGGCCGCCAGCGGCCCACCCCCUCCGCGAGCGCCUCCCCUCCCAGGCUGGCGCCUCCCCGCCCGCUACCUCCCGCCCAGAUCCGGGGGCGCCAGGGUCAACGCUUCUGCAUUGGAGAGUCCUGGGGUACAUGUUCGGGGGAAAGGAGCAGCAGCUCUACGUACUAACUAGUUGCGCCCGCGUGCUAAGAGCCCCCCACUUUUUGCACAAGCAGCUCCCCAUCUUUCUGGAGCGGUUAUCGGCCGGGCGCUGCCUUCAAACGCAGCCCGAGUGCGCCACGUGCACCUCCUGAGCCAGGAAGGAAGCUCCUCCGCUCCAAAAGGAGCCAGGCGCACGCCCCGGUCACUCGCUCCACUCACUCUGCAAGCGUAUUUUUUGGGGCUCUGUGUGUGUGUGUGUGUGUUUGGGGGAGUGCCUACUAAAAGCGGGCGCUCGCGCCGUAGCCCGUGCAGCUAUGGUCGGCCGAAGCACCGCCGUUGUCGCGCAGUAAGCACCCAGCUGUUCCCGCCGGCCCGGGCCGCAGCCGCCCGGGGAUUGGCUGCGGAGGAGCGGCUCCGCCCCGCGCCCCGCGGAUCUCGGAGGAGGCGGGGCACGUAGGGAGAAGGCGCGAAGGCUCGGCGUCUGACUGCAGGAGAUCCUGUUGGAAAGAAACUGCAGCAUGACUCAAGAAAAGAGAGACAGAGGUGUAUGUUGGCAACCUCCCACUGGAUGUCUCUGAGGUUUUGGAGAAGUCCUCUGGUCAAGGACUUGCCAGAGCCCCUGCUUGUACGCAGCUCACUCCUAAAGCUUCUGGUGACCCCCGGGAGACAGAGAAACCGAGGACGAGCUUCUUUGCAGUUCCCAUGGAAAUGAGUGAAGGCCUGUGACUCCCCAACCCUGGAUGCCGUGAGAUCGGCAUGUCCACCACACCUUCUGCUUUAACAGCGGACUCCAUUCUUAAUGUCAGGGGUGCCACAUCAAGGCUUUUGCCUGUCUCUCUGCAGUUUCCUGGUGUGUUUUUGUUUCCCUCCGCUGCUCCUCCUUCUCAGACUUUCCAGAACACGGCGCUUCCUUUGCUCUGCGUUAUAAUUACUCGGGCACUUGUCCCCACCCCAGGCAGGGUCACAGCCCUCCUGUCAGGGUGCCUCUCCUGCCUGUGGCCUGCCCAGCAUCCUCCAGGACAGGGGUGGGUCGAAUCGCUCCUGCACUCACCCCUCUCCUUUGUGCCCUGCUCUUCCCACAGAGGGUCCUUCUUGGUGCUGCUCCUGAGGGAAUGCUUCCGAGACCUGGGCUGGCUAGCCACCGUCCACAACAUCAGCGGGGAGGUGGGGCUGCUGGUGACCAGUAUUGUCCCUCAGACCCCCUUCUUCUGGGCCAUGGUCGUCACUGAGACCCUGCUCCAGAACAUGCAGGCGCUGUUCAGUGCCCUGGCCGAGGCUGAGGAGCAGCAGCCCUACCUGCACGACUCAGCCGUGCGGCGCGGGACCCGCUGCCUGGCCGAGUACCACCUGGGCGAUUACGGCCGGGCCUGGAACAGGUGCUGGGUGCUGGACCGAGUGGACUCCUGGGCUGUGGUCAUGUUCAUCGACUUUGGCCGUUUGGCCACCAUCCCGGUACAGUCCCUGCGCAGCCUGGAUAGUGACAGCUUCUGGACCAUCCCCCCUCUGACUCAGCCAUUCAUGCUGGAGAAAAAUGUUUUGAGUUCAUACAAGGUUAUCCAUCGCAUCCUCAAAGGGAAAAUCACUGGUGCUUUGAAUUUGGAGAGCAUAAUAUAAGUUGUCCUAACAGGUUCUGGAGAAUGGAGGGCACACUGCUUAAUUUUCCUGGCGUUCCGUUGUAGAAUCAGGGUCCAGCCACCCCUCCCCAGCUCUGCCCUCUGAAACUGAUGCAGUGAGACUGGGAAGCUGCUGGGUGCCCUGCGCCGUGCUCAGCACCGACUGUGCGCUGUGCGAACCCCGCCUGGGAUGUAGAUGGGCACGUGUGCAAAGGGUGAAAGUUUUUGUUUCAUUUCUCCUUGCUUUCUUGGUGGCGAGAACAUUCGUUCAGGAUGAUGUCGUCUUGAUUCUUUUUUUUUUAAAGCUGUGUAACGUCAUUAGAAGCCUAACCUGAGGUCAUAAAAGGGAGUGAGGUGUGGCCAGAAGAGUGGAUUCUCGAGUUGGUGGCACACAGCCCACUGGAGCCAGUGCUUCCCUUACAGGUGGACAGUUCUUUACAUAAUUUGAUUAGAUCAAACUAUUUAAAUAAUUUUAUUUGUUUCAUCCUUUGGUAGAUGAGAAAAAUACAUCACAAAAUACGUUAUACAGAGGACAGCUCACAGUACACAUGACUAAAAACAAUCUGCAUUCCAGCCAGGGCUGGUGGUAAGUUCAGAAGCCACAGAGGCCUUGAAAACCAGAUUCCAGCUCUGUGACCUGAGUUUACCUCUGGGGGCCCCUCUUUACUUCAGCCUCAGUAUAGAUCAGCGCCCUGUAUGGGGCGGGUGCAGACAGAGUCAGAGCAGCGUUGAGGGGAACUGGUGAACUCUGCAUCCACCUGAAGCAGCAAGACACUAAGCUCUCUUGAAAGAAAAGGGGAAAUGGCCAGUGUUAAAACUGCUGUGUCAAAGCAUUACACAACUCCGGCAUUCUCCAGGUUCCCAGACGGCUGUCGUAAACCUGGGCUAAGACAGUGUCUUCACUUCGCCAUCCCUGGCAUUUGUCACCAUCCAGCCUGUAGGCAGAGUUGGUCCUCAGAAGCUGUCUCAGCCCCAAAGCAAGCUGAUCUUUGACCAGGAGAGGUAGGCACCACGUGCCACAUGUCACACCUGCACUUUCAUUGAACAGGUGGGUAGGGCACCAACAGCUCCAAGCUCAGCAGACCCCCACCCUGCUCUCCCUGCAGCCGUUCCCAGAGUCGGGUGAGGAUGCAGGUGUACAGAACAGCCACUUUGAAGCUAUCCGUGUCCAGUAGGACCCACCUUAAGGGAGUGACAUGAAAGAAUCCUCAGUCCUCAAGCCGAAUAGCUCACCUCAGAGCUCUGCCUGGCUUCUCUGACAAGAUGAAGUGCAGGAAGAGACAGGAGCGGGAGCUAGCAGCCGUCACCCUUCAGUACUCGCUGGAAGCUGCUUCCCAGCAGGGAGGGGAGCCGUGAACUCGGGAGGGGCAGCUACUCAGCAUGUUGCUGAGACCAGAAAGACCACGCACACGCCCCAGUCCCUGCUCAGUUCAUUUCAAAGCAAUUCUGUGAAGCAGCUGCUUAAGCCUCCUUCAUUUUUCUUAGAAAUUUGAAAACAUCUGUGACUAGAAAAGUAGUCCUAAGAAUUAAGGUCAUCAUUUCAGCCUGCCACACUGUGACGCAGGCCAGGCUCUGCAUUCCAAGGGGUGCGAGCGCUCGUUGCUCCAGAGGCCUUCGGGAGAAAGCUAGGGGUGAGCCAGGCGUGGGCUGCAGCCCCACCUUCCUCUGGCUUUAGCAGUGAGCGGCAGCCUCUCUUCUCUACCAAAGCCACCGGUGGUCUUGGCGCUCCUCCCCCACCGCUCAAACAGUUCAGGGAUGGGGUGGGGUGGGAUAUGGGAAUAAAAAUAAAGAUGAGUCAAGACCAGCAUCUUCAAAUUAACAAACUGUAAUUGUUUUCCCAAAGAUACAUUUUUUUUUCAUACACAUCCAUCAUACACUGUAACCAAAAAAAGCAGUGUACAUGAAAUAAGAGAAAAUAAAUUAAAAAUCCAUAGCAUAGGUAAGGAGGCUCUAGUCUGGAGCACAGCUGAAUUUCCA